GUGACUGUUCUGGUAAUGAUUGCAUUUGUCAGUUGUACAGUGCAACCGCAGACAGUCACGCACAUGAAAGCACGUGGUUCCUGCCGACAGAGUCUGUAGAGUUAUCAGAUGUUAUGUGCGAUGGCUCCAUACACC
rnacentral:snoRNA from 1 species